GUGAGAGACCAUAACGUUGAUUUAAAUAUUAUCCAGGUGACCACAAUAAGUCAAGGUCAUAAAACAGUAAUGUCAGGAUGGUCUUGGUGCGCGCGAGAGGUGGAUUUUAUGAUCUGCAAAUAUAAUGUGGUGCUGCAGUAAAAGAUGCAUUUAAAGGUGACUGGAGGAGGGAAAGAGGCAGAGAGCAAACUGCAAUCUUGAGGAGCAGACGGAUCUGAUUGCCUGGGGUGCUGGGCUGGGCGCACCCCACCGCUGCUGGGGGGCACCCCAAGAGCCCCCCACCCAUCCAAAGAGAGGAAUAAACUUAACCGCCGCCGGAGGGGUACGAUGAGCUCACCGUCCCCCUACGUCCACAGCAGCUAGCAGAAGCUCCGGCAGCAGCGGGAGGAGGAGGAAGCGACAAGCGGGGGAUCAACCCCUAGACCUGCAGAAAUGACGUCAGAAUCAUUUGCAUCCUGCUGCCACUACCUGCCCAGUCCAGCUGGGACCCUGCCUCGCCUGCCCCAUGGCCAGAGGGUUGGAGGGGCGCUGCCUGGUGACCUAUGCGGACUGAAACACGAUCGCCAUGAAGGGACACCGCUGGAAAAGCUCUGGAGCCAAGGCCCUCAGGGCCCACUGGAGGCCGAAGAGGAGACCCUGGGCGGGGGCUGAAGCACAGACUUCCGACAGCCCCCCAGUGUCCAGGCUUUGGAGGGGAAGCUGGAAGCUUCCUAUCUCCUCUUGCAGGGAAGGGUGGUCAGUCUGGCGGGAUGUGUACUGGGGGGGCACCGUAGCCCCUGCCAGCCAUUCCCCCAUCACCUCCCCCAGCAGCACCACCACCACACACACAAAAAAUUGGAUACAUUUUGAAUAAAGCGAUUCGGUUCCUUAUCCGGGGACUGGGUUGCUCCGUGUGAUUGGCCGGCGGAGUCACAUGGUGAAAGUAACUUUACAGGGUCGCUAGCUAGUAGGAGGGCUUUAUGGAGCAGAAAAACGACAAAGCGAGAAAAAUUAUUUUCCACUCCAGAAAUUAAUGAU